AGACGGGCCCCGCACAAGCAGCGGAGCGUGUGGUUUAAUUCGAUGCUACACGAAGAACCUUACCAGGGUUUGACGUGCAAGUGGUAGGAAACCGAAAGGUGACCGACCCUUCGGGGAGCUUGCACAGGUGCUGCAUGGCUGUCGUCAGCUCGUGUCGUGAGAUGUUCGGUUAAGUCCGCUAACGAGCGCAACCCUCGCUGUGUGUUAUAUGUGUCACACGGGACUGCCGGUCUUAAGCCGGAGGAAGGUGGGGAUGAUGUCAAGUCAGCAUGGCCUUUAUAUCCUGGGCUACACACACGCUACAAUGGCCAGCACAGUAGGUUGCUAAGCCGCGAGGUGGAGCCAAUCCAUAAAGCUGGUCUCAGUUCAGAUUGCAGGCUGCAACCCGCCUGCAUGAAGAUGGAGUUGCUAGUAACCGCAGGUCAGCUAUACUGCGGUGAAUACGUUCCCGGGGCUU
rnacentral:rRNA from 1 species